UCACUGCGGAAGCACCCAGCUCAGUAGGUCGGUGCCUUGAGUGGAAGCUGAUAGAAACAUCUGCAAACUCCAAACUACAGUGCUUUCUUCAGUCCUCAAGGCUGGAAAAUUCAGUUACCCGACUGGCCCAUUUUCUGCGGAUUUUAAUCAAGUUGGAACUCAACAGAAGCCUGGAGUAUUAAAAGGAUGGUUGCCAUUUUAAAGGUCCUGAUCCUCAAGAAACACCAGCUCUGGGCUCCUGAUGAGGUGAAACACAUGAGCUGAUGGAGACAGAGAAAGCAGCAGGCCUGCUCAGCUGGAGUUGGAAGAAAAUUUCUGCUUUCAAUGCCUACAGAACCCUGCAGAACUGACAACUGGGUCUCACAAAAUAAUUCACAGAACCUUAAUUUUCAAUGUAAUUUUUUAAGGAGCAAAUAGAGAUCAACUGGCAAAUGGUUAGUACAGUCUCUUCAGACAGAAUUCUUUUGGGGGUUGCAAUUAACAGAAGUAAAGAAAAUAAAUGGAGAGAGAUUGUCAAAGGUUAAUAACUUUAGACAUGCCUUAUUAGGAUUUUACAAUGAUCUUGUCAUUGGGAUUUAUGAUUUGUCCUCCCCCUGCAUUAACUAGUACAGAAAAGAAAAGGGAAUACAGAAUCAACUGAUUAUUUCAAGCUGACCUCUGUCAGAGUUUUUAUUCAAAAGAAAGAUGCUCCCAUUCUUUACCAAGAGUCCACAUUCCCAGAACUGCUAGAGGAAGUUCACUGUGAGAAAUAUCAGCAGGGGAACAUUCUACAAUGAUUCUCCCGCUGUACACAAAUUUUCUUCUCUAUUUAUUUGUUCAUUUUUUAAUUUUAAGUAUUCUAGGACACACUGUGACAUUAAAAUAUACACGACUGACCAACCAAGGGUCAUUUGCAUGGAUUUUACUCCAUGGAACAUAUUUCAAUUGCUUCUAAAUAUCACUGUCCUAUG